rnacentral:rRNA from 1 species
AACGAACGCUGGCGGCAUGCCUAACACAUGCAAGUCGAACGAUGCUUUCGGGCAUAGUGGCGCACGGGUGCGUAACGCGUGGGAAUCUGCCCUUAGGUUCGGAAUAACCAUUGGAAACGAUGGCUAAUACCGGAUGAUGACGUAAGUCCAAAGAUUUAUCGCCUGAGGAUGAGCCCGCGUAGGAUUAGCUAGUUGGUGUGGUAAGAGCGCACCAAGGCGACGAUCCUUAGCUGGUCUGAGAGGAUGAUCAGCCACACUGGGACUGAGACACGGCCCAGACUCCUACGGGAGGCAGCAGUGGGGAAUAUUGGACAAUGGGCGCAAGCCUGACCCAGCAAUGCCGCGUGAGUGAUGAAGGCCUUAGGGUUGUAAAGCUCUUUUACCCGGGAUGAUAAUGACAGUACCGGGAGAAUAAGCUCCGGCUAACUCCGUGCCAGCCGCCGCGGUAA